rnacentral:lncRNA from 1 species
CCACAAUCCAUUGAAUUAAUAUUAAGUGUUGGUUAUUUGGCAUCAAGGGGGCACCACGCAAGGAACAAAGCAGUGAGAUAUGCAACUUAGCGUCAUUUUUCUGCAAAAUGUUCACUGCUAGCGUGCGUGCGUGGGGGGGGGGGGCAUCAUUUCAGUCGCGCCGGGAUCAAACCCCCCGGAAUCAGCCCCAGGUCUUCAGGCCUGAGCCCCCGGAUCUCCUGACCGUCUAGUGACGGCCCUGCUUCAGCCCUGUCUGGACUACAGGCAUUAUCUCAGGGCCGAAGGAAGACUGUCACCCAGCCUGUCUGGACUACAGGCAUUAUCUCAGGGCUGAAGGAAGCCUGUCACCCAGCCUGUCUGGACUACAGACAUUAUCUCAGGGCUGGAGGAAGCCUGUCUGGACUACAGGCAUUAUCUCAGGGCCGAAGGAAGACUGUCUGGACUAGAGGCAUUAUCUCAGGGCUGGAGGAAGACUGUCUGGACUAGAGGCAUUAUCUCAGGGCUGGAGUAAGCCUGUCACCCAGCCUGUCUGGACUACAGACAUUAUCUUAGGGCUGGAGUAAGCCUGUCACCCAGCCUGUCUGGACUACAGACAUUAUCUUAGAGCUGAAGGAAGCCUGUCACCCAGCCUGUCUGGACUACAGACAUUAUCUCAGGGCUGGAGGAAGCCUGUCUGGACUACAGGCAUUAUCUCAGGGCUGAAGGAAGCCUGUCUGGACUACAGGCAUUAUCUUAGGGCUGGAGUAAGCCUGUCACCCAGCCUGUCUGGACUAGAGGCAUUAUCUUAGGGCUGGAGUAAGCCUGUCACCCAGCCUGUCUGGACUAGCCGCAUUAUAAGAACUAAAAGCAUCAUAGGAAGUCAUCAAAAUAUUCAAAGACCAAAAAUACUUUUACAGGUUUUUAAUGAUCAUCUACGGCUAAAAGAAGAAACACUUUGAAAAAUAAAAUACAUACAGAUAUGAACAAAUAGGGCUCCUACUAAUACAGAAUACAAUGUUAACUAUGUAACGGUUAAAGUCAGGUGGUCCGUGCAAAGCCAAUGCCAGAGACAUAUAACAAAAUGGCUAAAACAUAGUGAUAUAAAUACAGAUGGCUAAUGGAGCCUUGCUAUUGUCCAACCAGGCUGGGCGGAGCCUUGCUAUUGUCCAACCAGGCUGGGCGGAGCCUUGCUAUUGUCCAACCAGGCUGGGCGGAGC